rnacentral:lncRNA from 1 species
ACCAAUUUUCGUCCAUGAGGUGAUGGAAAAUGACCAUAUUGCCCUUAAAAAUUUAAGUAAAUCCGAAUCUGUCCAUGGUGGACUGUUUUGAUAGGCUAAAGUAAAUCGGCCAUAACUCUUUGCUCCGAUAUCGGAUUUGGGUGAAAUUGGUAUCGUUAGAAAGAUAAUUCAAAGGUAUUUCAUUUAAUAUAAAUUAAUCCACCCAGUUCGUCCUGUACAAGUAGUUAUGAUCGUUUGAAGUUGACCCUAAAAAUCUGUUUUGAGAGGCUGAAGUAAAACGAGUAUAACUCCUUACUCAGAUGUUGGAUUUGGAUGAAACCAAUUUCAUUGGAAAGAAGACUCAAAGAUCUUUCUUUUGAUAUAUGGUAGCUCAACCAGUUCAUUAUAUUGAGGGAGUUAUGAUCGUUCAAAGUUGACCCAAAAAACUGGCAGGCCUCAGUAGUUUCCUGCACAUUUUACUGUUCACAUCCCGGCCACCGUUUUAAAGUUUCGAACGAGCUCGCUUAUAUCCGAAACUUAUCCGUUUUUGGAAAUCUUUAUAUCGUUGGAAAGCUUAUUCAAUAACCUUCGUAUGGAACCAUCGACGGGAAAAUUCCGAUAUAAAUAAAGUCGAUUCCUAUACACCUAUAAUCAAACUAUACACUUGAAACCAUCUCAAAAUAAUCAAUACUCAUACUUAAACUCAUAUAUACCUAACUUAGGAUCAAUACAUAUACCCCAACACAUAUAACAAUGACUAAUGCACGUAAUUAAGUACGGGGUGUUACAUCCUUCCCCCCUUAAGGACAUUCGUCCUCGAAUGUGAAUGUAGUUAUUUAGCCGAAACAAGUUCAAGUCCACCAUUAACAUUCACAUCAUCACAUAAAUACUAUGCAUAUAUAAACAAAAACUUACUUGUUAAUGUUCUAACUCCGUUUCUUGAACUUCCUCUUCAUCUUUGAACAAAUGAGGGUACUUAGAUUUCAUUGCUUCCUCAGCUUCCCAUGUAAUCUCUUCCCUUUGUUGAUUUCUCCAAAGUACCUUUACUGAUGCCAUUUCUUUGUUCCUUAACUUUUUAACUUGGCGAUCUAGAAUAGCAACCGGUACCUCUUCAUAAGUAAGAUCCUCUGUGACCUGUACAUCUUCUAUAGGAGUGAUACGAGAGGGGUCACCUAUGCAUUUUCGAAGCAUUGACACAUGAAACACUGGAUGAACCAUUGAAAGUUCCUGGGGUAGCUCUAAUUCAUAUGCAACUUGUCCGACCCUCUUGGUAAUCUUAUAUGGCCCUAUGUAACGUGGGCUUAGUUUCCCUUUUUUACCAAAUCUCAUAACCCCUUUCAUUGGUGAUACCUUUAAAAAUACCCAAUCUCCAAUAGAGAAUUCCAGCCCUCUUCUCCGAAUAUCUGCAUAUGAUUUAUGACGACUUUGGGCUGUUUUUAGCCGUUGUUGUAUCACCUUGACUUUUUCUAUGGCUUGAUACACAAGAUCCGGUCCGAACAUAAGAGUUUCACCCGCUUCGAACCAUCCUAUUGGUGAUCUACACUUUCUCCCAUAUAAAGCUUCAUAUGGUGCCAUUUUGAUACUUGAAUGAUAGCUAUUAUUGUAGGCAAACUCAAUAAGAGGUAAAUGAUCAUCCCAGCUGCCUUUAAAAUCUAUAACACAUGCUCGUAGCAUAUCUUCAAGUGUUUGAAUGGUGCGCUCUGCUUGUCCAUCCGUCUGAGGGUGAAAAGCUGUACUCAGAUUCACUUGUGUUCCCAAACCCCGUUGGAAAGACUUCCAAAAGUUUGCAGUAAAUUGAGUUCCCCGAUCCGAUAUAAUAGAAGUUGGCACUCCAUGUAAUCGGACUAUUUCUUUAACAUACAGCUUCGAAUAUUCUUCAACUGUGUAAGUGGUCUUAACGGGUAAGAAAUGUGCGGAUUUAGUAAGCCUAUCCACAAUCACCCAUAUAGAAUCAAAUUUUCGAGCUGUACGAGGCAAACCUGUAACAAAAUCCAUGUUGAUCAUGUCCCACUUCCAAAUUGGAAGAUCUAUGCAUUGCAUAUAGCCUCCGGGUUUUUGGUGCUCAACUUUAACUCUUUGACAAUUUGGACAUUCAGCUACAAAUUCUGCAAUGCUCUUCUUCAUGUCAUUCCACCAAUACAUAUCUUUCAAAUCUUGAUACAUUUUGGUUGAUCCUGGAUGAAUGGAAUACCUUGAAAAAUGUGCCUCUGUCAUAAUCUUCUUUCUUAGCCCGUCUAUAUCCGGCACACACAAUCGGUUUUGGCACUGAAGUACUCCUUCUCGCGUAAGCUCAAAUGCCUUGGUCGCACCACUCUGAACGUUCUCCUUAAGAUGUAAUAAAAUAGGAUCUGCAUAUUGCUUCUCUUUCACUUCAGCUACUAAUGAAGAUUCCGCAGCAUUAUGUACGAUAAGCUCUUUAUUCGGAGUUUCAAGAAGGCGAACUCCCAAACUAGCUAACUGGUGAAGAUCUUUAACCAUCCCUUGCCUUUCUAUAGGCGCCAUCAUAGCCUUACGACUUAACGCAUCAGCUACCACAUUUGCUUUCCCUGGAUGGUACAAGAUAUCAACAUCAUAGUCCUUUAAUAGUUCAAGCCAUCUCCGCUGCCUUAAAUUUAGAUCCUUCUGAUUAAAAAUAUAUUGCAAGCUCUUAUGGUCAGUAUAUAUAUCAACGUGAACCCCAUAUAAGUAGUGGCGCCAUAUCUUUAAAGCAAAAAUAACCGCUGCCAGCUCAAGAUCGUGUGUAGGAUAAUUUUUCUCAUGUGGCCGUAAUUGUCUAGAAGCAUAUGCUAUUACCUUACCAUGCUGCAUCAAUACACAUCCUAAACCAAUUCUGGAAGCAUCACAAUACACUGUAUACCCUUCGGUGCCUUCUGGUAGUACCAACACGGGUGUAGAAAUCAACUUGUUCUUUAAAUCUUGAAAACUCUUCUCACAGGCAUCAUUCCAUUGGAAUUUGGAUGCUUUAUGGGUUAGCUUGGUUAAGGGUGCUGAAAUGGAAGAAAAGUCUUUGACAAACCUUCUAUAAUAACCGGCCAACCCAAGAAAACUACGAAUCUCCGUAGGCGUUGUGGGCCUUGGCCAGUUCUUCACAGCCUCUAUCUUUUGAGCAUCAACCUUUAUCCCUUCACUAGAUACAAUAUGACCCAAAAAUGCCACCGACUUUAACCAAAACUCACAUUUAGAGAACUUUGCAUAAAGCUUACAAUCACGAAGAGUCUGCAAUGCCUGUCGUAAGUGAUUGGCAUGGUCCUCUUCUGAUCUAGAAUAAACUAGAAUAUCAUCUAUAAAAACUAUCACAAAUACAUCCAGGAAUGGCUUAAAAACCCUAUUCAUCAAAUCCAUAAAAGCUGCGGGUGCAUUUGUUAGCCCAAAUGACAUAACUAGAAACUCAUAAUGACCAUACCUUGUUCGGAAAGCUGUUUUGGGUAUAUCUUUUUCUUUGACCCUCACUUGGUGGUAACCUGACCUCAAAUCAAUCUUAGAAAAGCACUUGGCGCCCUGUAACUGAUCAAAUAAAUCAUCAAUUCUUGGGAGAGGAUAUUUAUUCUUAAUAGUCACCUUAUUCAAUUGCCGAUAAUCAAUACACAUCCUCAGCGAGCCAUCCUUUUUGCGUACAAAUAACACUGGUGCUCCCCAAGGGGAAAUACUAGGCCUAAUGAACCCCUUUUCUAGCAAAUCUUUCAAUUGCUCUUUCAAUUCUCGUAAUUCUGCUGGGGCCAUUCUAUACGGAGGAAUGGAGAUUGGUUGGGUGCCUGGUAUUACAUCAAUACCAAACUCUACUUCUCGUUCAGGAGGCAAACCUGGAAGAUCUUCAGGAAAUACAUCAGAAAAUUCAUUUACCACCGGAACAGCGUGAAGAGUUGGUGGCUCCGCUUCUGUAUCCCUUACUCUAACUAAAUGAUAUAUAUAUCCCUUGGAAAUCAUUCUUCUCGCCUUAAAAUAAGAAAUAAAUCUACCUCUUGGCACGCUAAUUUCACCUUUCCAUUCAAGGACUGAUUCAUUUGGAAAAUGGAAAUAUACCUUUUUCGUGCAGCAAUCAAUUGUGGCAUAACAAGACGCCAACCAGUCCAUACCCAUUAUAACAUCAAAAUCUACCAUUUCUAACUCCACAAGAUCAGCCAUCGUAUCACGACCACAAACAGUUACUAUGCAGUUUCGAUAAACCCUUCUAGCUAUAAUAGAUUCCCCGACCGGUGUGGACACUUCAAAUGGCUUAACUAACAGUUCGGGUAUUCUUUCGAACUUUCCAGCAACCAAUGGAGUAACAUAAGAUAAUGUAGAACCGGGAUCAAUUAAGGCAUAUAAAUUGAAUGAAAAUAUAGCCAACAUACCCGUAACCACAUCUGGAGAAGCCUCUAAAUUCUGUCGAUCUGCUAGAGCAUACGUACGAUUUUGAGCCCCGCUAGAACUCGUGGCUCCUCUAUCACCUCUAACACGACCCAUUGGCUGUGCACCCCUUCCUGAAUAAGGCAUCGAUGAUGAUGAUGCAACAAAUGACCCCGUAGGUCGUGCCAUACCCCCUAUGUCCCUUCGUGGGCAUUCCCUCAUCAUAUGCCCCGACAUACCGCACCAAAAGCAAACAUUGGUCCCCAGCCGACAUGCGCCCAAAUGAUACCUUCCACAUUUAUUGCAUGGCUCUCGAGGAGGUCUUGAUUGGCUCAUAUUCCCUUGACCUUGGUACCCCACUGUCCGCGAACUCUGACUCUCACUUCUGUGCCCAAAUUGAUUUCCUCUGAACCCUUGGAACUGUGGUGGGGCACUAGCUGUAGAAUAAGAGGAUAAUGGCCUAGGUGGUCUAGCAGAAAACUGUGGUCUGAACCCUCUUUCGAAUGCCAUGAACUGCCCUGUAGAUCUGGCCCUCUUGGAAUAUCCUCUUUCUGAUUCCUGUGUUCUUCUCCUCUGCCUCUGAUCUUCCAUUUUUUGUGCAAAAGCUUGGAUUCUCGCUAUGUCCAUAUCUUUGUUCAAAGCAGCAAUAGUACAAUCUCUAACCAGAUAUGGAUCUAGCCUAUCCACAUAUUGAUGAACUCUGUCAACCAUAGUAGCUACAACAUUAGGAGCAUAUCUCGACAAGGAAUUAAAUCGAAGACUGUACUCCCUCACGCUCAUAUUCCCCUGACGAAGAUUUAAAAACUGAUCUGCACGGGCCUGACGAAUCUCGAAUGGAAGAUAAUGAUCAAGAAAUGCCUCUUUGAACUCCUUCCAAGUAGCUGGGGGUGCAUCAAUACCCCUAGAUCGUUUCCAGUCCUCAUACCAAUAUAUAGCCUCCCCUUUAAAUCUAUACGCCGCUAACUCCACUGUCUCUCUACCCGUUACAUGCAUAACAUCCAAGGCCCUUUGAAUUUGAUCGAUAAAGUCCUGUGGGUCCUCGUUAAGAUCUGAUCCAGUAAAAGUGGGAGGAUCCAUCUUAAGAAAAUCCUGUGUUCGAAGGCUAGCCGCCCUAUCUAUACCACUAGGACCUGCAGUAGGAAUGGCUUGCCCUUGAGCUUGCCCAGCAACUAUACGAGUCAAAAGUUGCACUGCAUUUCUAAGAUCUUGAUCAACAACAUUAAUAGGUGGCUCUGCGGAUAUAGUUCUCCUCCCCCUUAUUUCUUCCGGACUGGAGGAAGUUUCUGAUGCAUGCUCAGCUGGAGCCUCACUUUGAUUAGCUGGUAUAGUGGGUGACUUACUAGUCCCCUCUCCGGCAGCCACAUCUACUUGCUUACCGGUAUUCUUGCUUCUGGUAACCGGCAUCAUUACUAUAAUAAGAGAAACAAACUGAUUCAGUGGUCAACUAUGACUUCAUAUACAAUAUAAGCUCUAUCGCACGAUCUAAGACAUGAAGAAAAGAAACAAUUCCUAAAUGUCCAUAGCCUCCUGUUUAUAGAUGUGGUGCACAACACACCGAUAAACAAGACCCUACGUAGACACGGCUUUGUAGACUCACUAGGACGAACCUCUCUGAUACCACUUUUGUCACGCCCCAAAAUCCCAUCGGGCCGGACUGGCACCCGAAGCCGAGAAGGCCCGGGAGAACCCGUUCAAAUACCUGUACUUUCACUUACAUGUCACCAAAAAAAUUGGACAGCACUUCGUUGCAUAUAGAAAGGUCUAAUUACCUGUAUCAGCACAACACGCACAAAUAUAUAUAUAUAAUACUUGGCCGUCGGGGCCACCACAUAUACAAAUAUAACGUUACUAUAUAAACUUCCAUGACUUUACCCUUCCUUAUGUCUACAAAGCCUCUAGGAUAUACAUGACAUAACUAGGGUCGGGACAAACCCCCGCCCACACGUGACUCAUGUACAAUAACAAAACAUAAGGAACCGACUCGGAAAGCUCCGAAGCAAACUGGAGCUCACCAACAAUAGCUGUAUGACCUGGCUCCUACUUGUGCGGUGUAUGAGUUGAGGUACCUGUGCCUGCAGCAUGAAAUGCAGGUCCCCCGUGAGGGACGUCAGUACGAAAUAUGUACUGAGUAUGUAAAGCUGUAAAUAAUCACAUAUGAUAUAGGAGCUCAAUAGAAAUCAGAAACAAGUGAAUAAGUCGUAAUAGGAGUGGACCACACUUACUAGAACUUGUGACAACCUGUACAUUGUAUUUAUUCAAUCACUUUACCUUCGUUCUUAUCGUCUUUGUAAUCAUUACUGUACUGUACUGUGACCAUUAGGAUGCCUCCAGUACAUAUCAACUGGGAUCGACCCAUGCUAGGCUUAUGCCCCUGGGAUACCACCCAUAAACACAUGAAAUAGGGAUCGACCCAUGCUAGGCUUAUGCCCCUGGGAUACCACCCGAUAAGAGAGAACUUUCAUCACUUAGUUCAAUUAAUCUUUGAGAUUGUUAUUUCGGUCGUCACCACAUUUUUGAUACCUUGAAACAAUGAUACAUCAAUAGGAACCAAGUAAUAGACCUUCUAUACAAUAACGAUGUAAUAAGGACUCAUUGGUACAUCAACAAUAUGUUUCAGAAUCAUCAAUAUCACAACAAUGAAAUAAGAGCCUUUUGGUAUAUCAAUGAACAUUUUGACACUUUAUAGGAUGGAAACAACUUCGUUGGUAACGUAGAACAAUACAUGUUUUUGGACAACCUCGGAAUCUUACUUGAUGGAACAUUGGUGUUUUCAUGCCAAAGAACAUUGUUAGAGUAUGCUUUACAUACCUCGUUGUAGAUUCAGCUACCAAUUCAACACAACUUCCCGCCUUUACAAAUCACUUAUCUACAAUGAAAUGUUUGGCAUCUAGUAUUAGCAACCCAACACCACAAUUCUCUUCCAUAAUUCCAUACUACCAAUAUUUGCAAAACAUUCCAAAAACCAACUUGAACAAUAGGUUUAUGUGUGUAUAUGUAUAUAAUCAUCAUCUCAAUACCACAUCAUCAAUACCACAUCAUCACCCCAAAUUCCUUCACAAUUUAACAUAAUCCAACCAUGCACAAGAAUAAUCCAACAUCAUUUCCAAUCAUCUUUCAACAACAAUCAAAUAACAUACUUCUUAUGCUCACAUGCAUAUAUAUAUAUAUAUACAUAUCCAUAUAAAUAACACCAACAUAAUUUACAUCCUUACCAAAAAAAAUGGCCCUUUUGAUUUCGAAGUCCUGUUGGCACAAAUAAGGGGUGCUUCUCGAAGCCCUUGAGACGGUGAACACAACUACGGAAUCAAUUUGGAUUUUCUACGGUUGAAUCACAAGAUAAUUGGAGUUGAACUUAGGCUAGGGUUUCUUAUUCUUCAAUGAUUUGGAUGAUAAAUGGUGGAUAUAAGGCUAAGUAUAUGUAUAUAAUGACCAAUUUUCGUCCAUGAGGUGAUGGAAAAUGACCAUAUUGCCCUUAAAAAUUUAAGUAAAUCCGAAUCUGUCCAUGGUGGACUGUUUUGAUAGGCUAAAGUAAAUCGGCCAUAACUCUUUGCUCCGAUAUCGGAUUUGGGUGAAAUUGGUAUCGUUAGAAAGAUAAUUCAAAGGUAUUUCAUUUAAUAUAAAUUAAUCCACCCAGUUCGUCCUGUACAAGUAGAAUUCAAAGGUAUUUCAUUUCAUAUAAAUUAAGCCACCCAGUUCGUCCUGUACAAGUAGUUAUGAUCGUUUGAAGUUGACCCUAAAAAUCUGUUUUGAGAGGCUGAAGUAAAACGAGUAUAACUCCUUACUCAGAUGUUGGAUUUGGAAGUAACCAAUUGCAUUGGAAAGAAGACGCAGAGAUCUUUCUUUUGAUAUGUGGUAGCUCUCCCAGUUCAUUAUAUUUAGGGAGUUAUGAUCGUUCAAAGUUGACCCAAAAAACUGGCAGGCCUCAGUAGUUUUCCUGCACAUUUACUGUUCACAUCCCGGCCACCGUUUUAAAGUUUCGAACGAGCUCGCUUAUAUCCGAAACUUAUCCGUUUUUGGAAAUCUUUAUAUCGUUGGAAAGCUUAUUCAAUAACCUUCGUAUGGAACCAUCGACGGGAAAAUUCCGGUAUAAAUAAAGUCGAUUCCUAUACACCUAUAAUCAAACUACACACUUGAAACCAUCUCAAAAUAAUCAAUACUCAUACUUAAACUCAUAUAUACCUAACUUAGGAUCAAUACAUAU